CGGACGGGGGAGUAAUGUCUGGGAAACUGCCUGAUGGAGGGGGGUAACUACUGGAAACGGUAGCUAAUACCACAUAACGUCGCAAGACCAAAGAGGGGGACCUUCGGGCCUCUUGCCAUCGGAUGUGCCCAGAUGGGAUUAGCUAGUAGGUGGGGUAAAGGCUCACCUAGGCGACGAUCCCUAGCUGGUCUGAGAGGAUGACCAGCCACACUGGAACUGAGACACGGUCCAG
rnacentral:rRNA from 1 species